GGCGACCGGCGCACGGGUGAGUAACACGUAUCCAACCUGCCGAUGACUCGGGGAUAGCCUUUCGAAAGAAAGAUUAAUACCCGAUGGCAUAGUUCUUCCGCAUGGUGGAACUAUUAAAGAAUUUCGGUCAUCGAUGGGGAUGCGUUCCAUUAGGUUGUUGGCGGGGUAACGGCCCACCAAGCCUUCGAUGGAUAGGGGUUCUGAGAGGAAGGUCCCCCACAUUGGAACUGAGACACGGUCCAAACUCCUACGGGAGGCAGCAUG
rnacentral:rRNA from 1 species